AGAGCCAAGAAUGAUUGAACUUGGUCAUAUACUUGUUCGGAUUUGGAGUAUAUCUUUUUUUUUAAACGUUCAUGGACGUAGUGUUGCUUUGUUUCUAUUUUUUUUUCUUUUUAACGUUCCUAAACUCCAAUGCUAUUUUCUACUAUUUGCUUCUAUUUGGAUUAUUAUUUGGUGAGAUUAGAUUAUAAUUUAUGCUUUUCUUAAAGAUUUUAUUUGUUAGUACGGUUAUUAA
rnacentral:lncRNA from 1 species